rnacentral:rRNA from 1 species
AUUGAACGCUGGCGGCAGGCUUAACACAUGCAAGUCGAGCGGGGGAGGUUACUUCGGUAAUUGACCUAGCGGCGGACGGGUGAGUAAUACUUAGGAAUCUGCCUAUUAAUGGGGGACAACAUCUCGAAAGGGAUGCUAAUACCGCAUACGCCCUACGGGGGAAAGCAGGGGAUCACUUGUGACCUUGCGUUAAUAGAUGAGCCUAAGUCGGAUUAGCUAGUUGGUGGGGUAAAGGCCUACCAAGGCGACGAUCUGUAGCGGGUCUGAGAGGAUGAUCCGCCACACUGGGACUGAGACACGGCCCAGACUCCUACGGGAGGCAGCAGUGGGGAAUAUUGGACAAUGGGGGGAACCCUGAUCCAGCCAUGCCGCGUGUGUGAAGAAGGCCUUAUGGUUGUAAAGCACUUUAAGCGAGGAGGAGGCUCUUUUGGUUAAUACCCAAGAUGAGUGGACGUUACUCGCAGAAUAAGCACCGGCUAACUCUGUGCCAGCAGCCGCGGUAA